GCUGGGCAUAGUGGCUCAUGCCUGUAAUCCCAGUGACUCGGAGGGUGAGGCAGGAGGAUCACAAGUUUGAGGUCAGCCUCAGCAAUUUAGCAAGACCCUGUCCU
rnacentral:sRNA from 1 species